CCUACGGGAGGCAGCAGUGAGGAAUAUUGGUCAAUGGGCGCGAGCCUGAACCAGCCAAGUAGCGUGAAGGAUGACUGCCCUACGGGUUGUAAACUUCUUUUAUACAGGAAUAAAGUGCGGCACGUGUGCCUUUUUGUAUGUACUGUAUGAAUAAGGACCGGCUAACUCCGUGCCAGCAGCCGCGGUAAUACGGAGGGUCCGAGCGUUAUCCGGAUUUAUUGGGUUUAAAGGGAGCGUAGAUGGGUUGUUAAGCUAGUUGUGAAAGGUCGCGGCUCAACCGUGGAACUGCAGUUGAUACUGGCAGGCUGGAGUGCGGUUGAGGUAGGCGGAAUUCGUGGUGUAGCGGUGAAAUGCUUAGAUAUCACGAAGAACUCCGAUUGCGAAGGCAGCUUACUGAAGUGCCACUGACACUGAUGCUCGAAAGUGUGGGUAUCAAACAGGAUUAGAUACCCUAGUAGUC
rnacentral:rRNA from 1 species